AGCAGGCCGGAGGCUGGGAGAAUAACACAGAAACACGGAGGGUGCUGGGGCCCAGUUCUUCAGGACUCAAAACACUCUCUGUAGAUGCACAGCACAGGCCCUUUCAGCUGCAACCAAGAGCCUCUCUAGGGAGCUGGACUACAGAUACCACAAGGACCCUAUUGGUUCUCUUCUUCUGGAGAACGCUAAUAGAGAGGCUCUGUCCACGCAGAAAUGAUGGGAGCACAGGCUGGGGGAGUCACCGGGCAGGUGUGAGAAGUAGCUGGGAUAUGGAUGCACUGUGAAACCAGAGCCUGGGUGUGGGAUACGCAAGAAGAGAUGGGAGUCAAGGAGGCUCAGAGGUGGAAGAGCAUGAACUUCCUCCUGUAGACAAAAGGGAUAAUCACUUGUGUCUCCUUCAGAGACCUUGACAGAAAACAUCACUCUAGAAGCAAAACAGGGAACAGGCGGUUGGAGGCAGAGAAACCAGCUACAAGGCUGUUCGGACACUAGACUGUUAUCUACAUGGGGAGGCACCUGGCAGGUGGCCAGAUCCCCAGAUGGAAUCUCCACCUUGUGGUUUAUGAGGCAUUCUAGGCCACUGCCUCCUGAAGACACUGC
rnacentral:lncRNA from 10 species